rnacentral:misc_RNA from 1 species
AGAAGUCAGAGUGACAGAAAAAGCCUGAAUUCCGACCUUGUAAUUAACUAUUGCUCAAUAUGAUUAUUCCAAAACCACUAGCUUCUUCAAAAUCCCAUAUCUACUUCCAGUUUGGCUAUAGCUUUCCAGAGCCAUUGUUAGAAAUUAUCUUCUUGAGAAGGGUUCAUCUGAUCAGAAAAACUCAACAUGGGAAGUUGCAUUUGCGGCAGGAUUGUCUGCAAGGUGGAUCCAGCAUUGCUUGUAGAAGCAUCAACAUUGUUAAGCAUCACAUUGCCCCACGUCCAAGAUGAAGGGACGUAAGGCAGUCCUGAAAUGCUUUGGAUGUUACUAAUUGGCCUGUCACCAUAUUGAUUGCCAAUGUUCUGAUCCUUGGACAUCAUCAUCAGAUCUUCCAAUAAAUUUGAGUUUGAUGAAGUCCCUGGAGAACUAAUCAUAUUCUGGAAAUGCAUUGGUAGUUGAACAUCAAGUGGCUUCGGAUCAGAGAAUAGUUGCAGCUGCAAGUUAUCUAAUUUGCAGCUAUUAUUGUUCCUGUCCUUCAAAUUUCGACUCGGAAUUGUUGCAUGAUAAUCAGAGAAAAGCUGCAAGUUAGUUGAAUAACUAUAGCUACUGUUACUAUUUUCCAUCAAAUUUGAAUUUGAUGGAAUCAUAUACGAGCUCUGCCCUGGCAGGAAACAGCUAACAGGCAAUUGAGCAUCCAAUGGCUUCACAUCAGAGAAAAGCUGGUGCAAGUUGGUCAAAUUCCUGAAGCUGUUGCUUCUGUUCAUUUCCAUGUUUUGAGAACUAUAUAGCAUUCUUGAUGCGAAUUCAUCCAUCAGAACCUGAUUUUCAUGAAAGCUGUCAAGUUUUUUAUCUGCAAUUUCCAGUUUCUCGUCCAACUGAGCCAUAAGUACCCUUAGUUGAUCCUCCAAGAAAGAAUCAAGACGAACGUCCCAUAUAGGAAAAUUAGCUUCAAAAAUUUGCUUGUGCAACUUCGAAAUCUCCACAUCAACCUUCUUCUUUUUGUCUGCAAAAUAGUCAGAAACAUGGUAGCAUCUUCUUGCCUGAUCAGUUCUCUUGUACUUGUUUAUAAUACGCUUAAUCUCAUCAGGAUUUGAUGGCCAGGUAGCCUCCAAUUUGAUAACUUGUUCAUCUUUCUGUUUUGGUCCAAAGAUGAUCAAGCAAGCUUCAACACCACAAAGAAUUGAGAACUCUGAAAUCUUCUUUAGCAAACUUUUCUUCCUCUUCUGGAAGGUGUUCAUCCGAGUGCUCUCCUUCUUUAUUAAUUCCAUUUUAAUUCUACUGUGACCCAUUGCUUAUCUUGGUUAAUUUUCAAAUAUAUACAGCACGCAGAGCCACAACAAUGGAGUAGCAAUAGCGGUUGAGGGAUAUGGACUUUUAUAUAGAAAAUAAAGAUGGGAUUUUUCUUGAUUUCAAGAGAAAUUUUCUCUUCCCUCUUAUGGAAACAAAUUAAAAGUGAUGAUUACGAAUUGU